GUUUCUUUUUAAUAAUAUUAUUACAUUUACCAAAUGCAGCACAUUAAUGCUUACGCUGUGUGUGAAUGGUGUUGAUGUGUGCGUGUGUGUGUGUGUGUUAGAUUUAUGUCAGUGGCUGAGCCCCACCCGCGCGUAACGUUUAAAAAAAAAGAAUGAGAAAAAGAAAUAUGAAA